AGCGAACGCUGGCGGCGUGCCUAACACAUGCAAGUCGAGCGAGAAAGGGAACUUCGGUUCCUGAGUACAGCGGCGAACGGGUGCGUAACACGUGGGUGAUCUGUCCUUGAGACGGGGAUAACCCAGCGAAAGUUGGGCUAAUACCGGAUAAGACCACAGGAGGAAACUCCAGGGGUCAAAGGGUGCUUUCUUCGGAGAGCAUUCUCUUGAGGAGGAGCCCGCGGCCUAUCAGCUUGUUGGUAGGGUAACGGCCUACCAAGGCAAAGACGGGUAGCUG
rnacentral:rRNA from 1 species